rnacentral:lncRNA from 1 species
CCUUCAAUUGUUUGUUUCGGAGAAGCGGCCUGGGCCCUUCGGACGUUCCCGUGUGGCCUUGCGGCACCGGAGACCUUCCGUUGGCCUUUUCGGCGGGCUUUUCCGAUUUGCGUUUGCUCGGGGAAGCGGCCUGGGCCGUGCGGAUUGUCUCGUGUGGUCGUCCGACCUUGAGACUUUUCCGCCGGCCUUUUCGGCGGGCUUCUCCAGCUCUCGUUUUCCCGGGGGAGCGGCCUGGGCCGUGCGGAUUGUCUCACGUGGUCGUCCGACCUCAAGACCUCUCCGCCGGCCUUUUCGGCGGGCUACCCCUUUUCCUUUACUUCAAUAUUUUUAAAGGG